UGAUGAGUGGUCCACCUCAACAGAGGUCUA
rnacentral:piRNA from 1 species